AGACUUUGAUCCUGGCUCAGAUUGAACGCUGGCGGCAUGCUUUACACAUGCAAGUCGAACGGUAACAGGUCUUCGGAUGCUGACGAGUGGCGAACGGGUGAGUAAUGCAUCGGAACGUGCCCAGUCGUGGGGGAUAACGCAGCGAAAGCUGUGCUAAUACCGCAUACGAUCUGCGGAUGAAAGCGGGGGACCUUCGGGCCUCGCGCGAUUGGAGCGGCCGAUGUCAGAUUAGGUAGUUGGUGGGGUAAAGGCUCACCAAGCCAACGAUCUGUAGCUGGUCUGAGAGGACGACCAGCCACACUGGGACUGAGACACGGCCCAGACUCCUACGGGAGGCAGCAGUGGGGAAUUUUGGACAAUGGGCGCAAGCCUGAUCCAGCAAUGCCGCGUGCAGGAAGAAGGCCUUCGGGUUGUAAACUGCUUUUGUACGGAACGAAAAGCUCUGGGUUAAUACCCUGGGGUCAUGACGGUACCGUAAGAAUAAGCACCGGCGUA
rnacentral:rRNA from 1 species